GCUGAACAAACAUACAUGGGGAACACUUUGCUGCACAGCCUGGUGACAUCCAGCCAUCCUCCAUCAUUGUCAAUGACGCCGGCGUGCAGCGCGGCUCCACACACACUGGAUUGCUGGGUCAUUUGCAAAGGCAAGGAAAUACACAGCAAGGAAGAAGAUGUGGACCACAGCGGACCAGGACUUGAUGAGCUGGUCCAGACGGGGUCAACUUAGACGGUUUCCACUGUGUAAUACAAUGAUUGCAUCAUUGUUGGUGAUCAUUUACCAUGUCAUAAAAUGUGCUCCCGACUACUUUUCCGUGUCUGUCAAGGCAGCCGGGCGGACACUCGUAUCUGGGCAGGGUCAGUUAAAGCAGAGUCAGCGGUUGUUGUAGAAAUGCAAUCUUAUGAACGCCACGAAUCUCAUCAUCGGCAUUGAACAUACCUGUUACAAGUUGUGCCCUUGCACCGAUCCCUCAGCUUGGUGUCACAGUCCAUCUGCUGGGCUGCAAGAACAACAUCGCCGAGAGUUACAAUUCCAAAGUAACACCCAGGAAAAGGAACAUUCCUUACACAUCUGCUCCGUGCUGACGACUCUGUUUCUGUCUGCGUCCUCCGAGGGCGCUGAGGGGUUUGGUGCUUGGACUCUUGGUUGGGGCUCCCUCUCUCUCACUGCGUCAGGCUCUGGUUCGAUGUAGUUGGUCUCCUCCGUCUCCACAGCCGGAUGCCUGUCAGUGCCCCCACCUGUGGAAAUAUGGGCUAAUAACUAUAAAAGCAAUCUUCACUCGCUAAAUGUUCUGCAAAAAAGGUCAGUAAGGAUAAUUCAUAAUGCCGCCUACAGAGAACAUACUAACUCCUUAUUUGUAAAAUCACAAAUACUUCAACUUGCUGAUAUAGUUCAUCUUCAAACAGCUAAAAUAAUGCAUAAGGCUAAAAAUAACCAAUUAGCUAAAAAUGUCAUCCAAUACUUCUCUACAAGAGAGGAGAAAUAUGAUCUCAGGGAAGAGUACAUUUGAAACACUUCUAUGCUAGGACUACGUUAAAAAGCCAUAGCAUUUCAGUAUGUGGAAUCAAACUAUGGAAUGGAUUGAGUAAGGACCUCAAACAAUGCACAACGAUGAGCCAAUUCAAGAAACAAUACAAGCAGUUGAUGUUUGCUAAAUACAAGGAUGAAGAGUCUUGAACCAGUCAUGAUGUGCUAUAUACAUAUAUCACUAUAUUGACACUUACUAUGGUACCCAUUAUGGUAUGGUCAUAUCACCUCGUACUUCGGUACGUGACAAAAAAAAAAACCAUAAACCAUAUUAGGAAAGCAGGAAGUGAACAAAUGUAACAGUUACUGAUUGUAAAAGUACCAGAUGGAGGGGUAGGAUUUAAUAAGCUUUGCUUCUUCCUACUCCUUUUGGACAUGUGGAACUGUGAACUGAUUAUGGGAUGCAUUCAAUUGUAAUCUGAUGCAUGUUCAAAUGAAAUUAAACCAUUACCAUUACCUGAAAACAUUGCGACCAAUGUUCAACGAUCAUUUGUCAAUGGGUCGAAGUGCUUGUGUUUGCUACCAAAUUUUAUGGACUUUUCAUAUCCAUCCAUUUUCUGUACCGCUUAUCCUCACGAGGGUCGCUGGUAUGUUGGAGCCUAUCCCAGCUGUCUUCGG